ACGAACGCUGGCGGCGUGCUUAACCCAUGCAAGUCGAACGGAAAGGCCCUGCUUUUGUGGGGUGCUCGAGUGGCGAACGGGUGAGUAACACGUGAGUAACCUGCCCUUGACUUUGGGAUAACUUCAGGAAACUGGGGCUAAUACCGGAUAGGAGCUCCUGCUGCAUGGUGGGGGUUGGAAAGUUUCGGCGGUUGGGGAUGGACUCGCGGCUUAUCAGCUUGUUGGUGGGGUAGUGGCUUACCAAGGCUUUGACGGGUAGCCGGCCUGAGAGGGUGACCGGCCACAUUGGGACUGAGAUACGGCCCAGACUCCUACGGGAGGCAGCAGUGGGGAAUAUUGCACAAUGGGCGGAAGCCUGAUGCAGCAACGCCGCGUGCGGGAUGACGGCCUUCGGGUUGUAAACCGCUUUCGCCUGUGACGAAGCGUGAGUGACGGUAAUGGAUAAAGAAGCACCGGCUAACUACGUG
rnacentral:rRNA from 1 species